rnacentral:rasiRNA from 1 species
CGACUCAGUAUCCCGUUUAUUUGG